AGCAGAACAGGGAGUCUUGCACUGCAGCAGUCUUGCAAGAAGCAGGUUUUUAUAUAUAGAGAGAAAGAAAGAUGGAUGGAUGAGAACAUAUAAAAGCAGGAAGAAAAUUAUGAUUGCAAGAGCACGAACGAUGAAAUGUAAAGAAACUGGCUGGAUUCUCAUUUCAGUUAUACUGGGGUAGGUCAAGUAUCAGGGGUAGCCGUGUAAGUCUGCAUCCACAAAAACAACAAGGAGUCUGGUGGCAUCUUAAAGACUGGGGUAAGUGAUGUAACUGAGAUCAAAUUCUUGUCCAACAUACUUAUCUCACAUUAGGACUAAUAACAUUUCUGAGCUAAAAACAUAGUGGACCAAACUUCCAAAAAGCACAGUCUAAAUUUUUAUCCACAAAUUCUGCAUGUAUACAUUUUUUUGCAUUGUAACUGCAUUUGUCAACAUGUGUUAGUUAUGUAUAUGUAAAAUGUAUUUCCAUGUUCAAGCAGGAUAUAUAAUGGUCUGAGCUACAUGCACAAAAUCAAUUUGCACAUGCUUUUUUAAAAAAUAUUAUACACUAUUAAUUUUUAAACAGUUACUGCAAGAAACUAAAUUUUGUUUCAUACAAGAUAACACUACACAUGGAGAAGAAAAAAAAUCAAAGAAUGCAAAUAUUACAGCAAUUUGUAAAACUGAAGGCCUGAUUCUCCAUUUAAUUACACCAUGUUUAUACCAGGAUGUGUCUACUGAAUUCAGUGGUGUUAUUAUGGCAUAAAUAUGAUGUGAUACAGUACAGAAUCAGAGCCUAGCAUCCUUACGCUUACCUUUCUGCCAUCAAACUUGCAGAGGUAGGCAAUAAUAAAAGCAAGAAAGCUUUGCACCAUGGGCUGAAGCAGGCAGCUCAACUACCAGCUGACUCCCCAAUAGCUGAUCAUUGCAAGAUUUCCCUGAACUAAAUAUGAAAUAAAAGAAUAGCUAUGUAUAAGCAGCAUUCAAAGACACUGAUUCUGCGCUAUGCAGAUCCUGACAGUACCUUGCCAGCAGAUAAUUCCCUGGUGGAGGGGAACUACUAGCUGAGGUAGAGCCCUUGGAACUGGCUUCUGCCAUGGCUACCCUUGCCAUCCGAGUGUAGCUCUGCAUGGUGAAUCUCCACUCCUGGUAUAAGAUGCCUUAGGGAUCAUAUGCCAUUGACAUAAAGUAGAGGAGCUCCUAAGAUGCUCUACUUCACGCUGGCACAGAAUCAGGAAGUCAUAACUGGCACACACAUAAGCCUCUACUUAUUUCCCUCCUGUGCUGAGUGUAGCUCAGCUGCAGAGGAGAAUUUGAGCCCUGUGCCUUUAUAAUAUUGAAAAAUGCUAAAUGAAUUGCUGGGCUGAUGGUUUGCAGCUGGGAAAAUUCCUGGGUCAUAGAUGACAUCAUUCUUCCAUAGGAUGUACUCAUCACAAAGAAAGGAGAAACACUAAAUCUUUGCUUCGGCAGAACUAGAAAAAAAGGACAUAUAAAUGGACAAAGACAAUAUGGCAGACUUUGUUUUUCCAUUUCCAAAGUAUUACAAACAAUUGAAUGGGGAGAAAAGUGCAUAUUUGAUAGUGUACCCCUUUAGCUAUUGAUAUAAAUAGUUUUAUUCAGUUCUACUUUCUCUCCACUUACUAAUAAAUAUUUAGAUUUUAUUGUUAAAAAUACAAUACAGCCAUAAGGAACCAGGAGGGGGGAAAAGCUGCAAGGUGAAUAUUACAAUAAAAGGAAAGAUUGUUCUGUGGAAUUAAUAUAAAAAAAUCAUUGGUAAAUAGAAAGAUUUUACUGUCCUUCCAAAUUUGUGCUUGAGGUGAACAUUUCCUCACUCAUAAUAAAAGUGGUGUGGAGCUUCAAUAGUGCUCCAGUUUCCAAUAUUUUAAAAUUAUUUUAAAAGGUUGCUUGAUAAUCAUAAAGCAAUAGUUCUCAGUGAUCAGUGUGGUGUCACAAUUUUUUUUCAUGAAUACUCAAAAGGGCACUGAUGUAAUCUAUUAGAGUUAAAAAGAGAGAGGCAGGAAGGCCGCCAUCUUCAGUGGAAAAAAGGCACAUAAGUUUAACAUCUGGUGGUGGCAGUCUGUCAAUCUGAGGAAAGUUAAUGUCAAGAACAGACGCUCUGCCAUUUCUCACUGUUAUUUUUGCAUGAUUAUUCCCAGGUGCUGGUACAUAUUGAGCAGUAGCCUUGUUAUUUAUCACACAAGAGAUUCCAAGAGGCGGGAGGAGUUGAAACACAGGAAGGUUAUUAACAUAGGUCGUAGCUCUUAAUGUACAUAAUCAAAGGGCUUAAAAAUGUACAGAAAUAUUACAGCAAUAUUUUCUACAUUCACUUUAUUUCAAGGGCUUUUGAGAGCUGAUUAAUAAUGAAGGCUACAAAACUGGAGUGUUGUUUGUGGCCGCUUUCCAUUGCGGAAAGUUUGAUUGUAUCAAGCAGUGGUGGUUCUCAGGACUAGAAAGCUGACUGCAAAUGAAGAAUGUCUGCCAAUGAAGGGAUAGUAAGUGUUCCAGUGAGCACAUCUCCAUCUGAAGACGACAAAAAGACAUUUUGGUGGUUGCACUAUGAAUGCAUUGGUGACUGUAUUUGGGUGGGAGAGUUUUAAGAGAGAAGAAAUGUCAUCUUAAGUGGAGGUUCUUAAUGUAUGUAGAUUUCCUUCAAUUUCUCAUUGGUUUUAUUUUAGAUACUGAAAUUAAGCUCUGUGCAUGACAGACAGUCUUUCUGAUGCAGUCACUAAUCUCCAGAAGUACAGUCUUGGAGCUUUAAAAUUCUGCCUCUCCUACAGGGUGGAUUCCAUUGAACAACACUGAGUUUCUGUAAAACAAGAUAAGGCCUUCUGUCCUGUAGGAAGGAAGUAUGUUUCCAAGGGCCUCACUACACCUGUGGAAAACCAUGCUGAUGAAAAAAAUAAUCUGUACACAAGCCUAUGGAUCCUGGGGUUGUGGUGAUCAAAAAGUGAUUUAGAAUUUUGUUCUAAUGAAAAUGUUCUGACCUUUUCAGAGACUGUAAAUAGAUUACUUUAAAUUAUUAAAUAUUAUUACAUAUGUCUUUGCUGUUAC